AGACGUCUACAUUAGAUACCCCUCGUAGUCCCAGCCGUAAACUAUGCGCGUUAGGUGUAUCGGUGACCACGAGUUACCGAGGUGCCGAAGGGAAACCGUGAAACGUGCCGCCUGGGAAGUACGGUCGCAAGGCUGAAACUUAAAGGAAUUGGCGGGGAGCACCACAACAGGUGGAGCCUGCGGUUUAAUUUGGACUCAACGCCGGGAAGCUCACCGGAUAGGACAGCAGAAUGAUUGCCGGGCUGAAGACUCUGCAUGACUAGCUG
rnacentral:rRNA from 1 species